GGGGAAUUUUGGACAAUGGGGGCAACCCUGAUCCAGCCAUGCCGCGUGAGUGAAGAAGGCCUUCGGGUUGUAAAGCUCUUUCGGCCGGGAAGAAAUCGUGCAGGCUAAUACCCUGUAUGGAUGACGGUACCGGAAUAAGAAGCACCGGCUAACUACGUGCCAGCAGCCGCGGUAAUACGUAGGUGGCGAGCGUUGUCCGGAAUUACUGGGCGUAAAGGGCGCGUAGGCGGCUCUUUAAGUUAGAUGUGAAAACCCAGGGCUCAACCCUGGGAGUGCAUUUAAAACUGAAGGGCUCGAGUGCAGGAGAGGUAAGUGGAAUUCCUAGUGUAGCGGUGAAAUGCGUAGAUAUUAGGAGGAACACCAGUGGCGAAGGCAAUCCCCUGGGCCUGCACUGACGCUCAUGCACGAAAGCGUGGGGAGCAAACA
rnacentral:rRNA from 1 species